rnacentral:misc_RNA from 1 species
GUUGGUGAACCAGCGGAGGGAUCAUUACCGUGGGGCUUCGGCCCCAUUGAGAUAGCACCCUUUGUUUAUGAGUACCCUUGUUUCCUCGGCGGGCUUGCCCGCCAUGAGGACAUUAAAAACCCUUUGUAGUAGCAGUAACUUCAGUUAAUAAUAAAUAUUAAAACUUUCAACAACGGAUCUCUUGGUUCUG